AUCGAACGCUGGCGGCAGGCCUAACACAUGCAAGUCGAGCGUGCGGCGGACGGGUGAGUAAUGUAUGGGGACUGUCCGUUAGAGGGGGAUCACUACUGGAAACGGUAUCUAAUACCGCAUUCUAUCGGAUUCCCCAUUUGGGAUUAGCUAGUAGGUGAGGUAAUGGCUCACCUAGGCGACGAUCCCUAGCUGGUCUGAGAGGUUGAUCAGCCACACUGGGACUGAGACACGGCCCAGACUCCUACGGAGGCAGCAGUGGGGAAUAUUGCACAAUGGGCGCAAGCCUGAUGCAGCCAUGCCGCGUGUAUGAAGAAGGCCCUAGGGUUGUAAAGUACUUUCAGUCGGGAGGCGGUACCGACAGAGGAAGCACCGGCUAACUACGUGCCAGCAGCCGCGGUAAUAC
rnacentral:rRNA from 1 species